rnacentral:misc_RNA from 1 species
CAACUGCGAUAACUAGUGUGAACUGCAGAUAUCUUGAACACUAAGCUUUCGAAUGCACAUUGCGCCAUCGGAGUCACACCCGAUGGCACAUCUGGCUCAGGGUCGUCUCAAAAAACGAACGCCCAUUCGUUUCUAAAGUCCGCUCCCUUGCUUGGAGAGCGGGCGAAUGUGCGCUGGAUCACUUUGUUGCUAGUAUACCGAGUGUUCCGGCGGGUUGUCAAUCACGGAGUAAGGCAUUCCGCUUGGAUGGCUAGGUCACCGCUUGUCCAAUGACCGACCGCCUCCCAAGUAAGCAACAAUAAGUGAAUGUCGAGCUUUCUCUCAGCGACCUGAGCUCAGGUGUGAGUACCUGCUGAACUUAA